rnacentral:rRNA from 1 species
UACGGGGGGUGCGAGCGUUGUCCGGAAUUACUGGGCGUAAAGAGCUCGUAGGUGGUUUGUCGCGUUGUCCGUGAAAACUCACAGCUUAACUGUGGGCGUGCGGGCGAUACGGGCAGACUGGAGUACUGCAGGGGAGACUGGAAUUCCUGGUGUAGCGGUGAAAUGCGUAGAUAUCAGGAGGAACACCGAUGGCGAAGGCAGUUCUCUGGGCCGUAACUGACGCUGAGGAGCGAAAGCGUGGGGAGCGAACAGG